GAGACAACACAGUAAACCUCUAUUUUCAUUCGAGAUCGUGGAUCGAAGGUAACCCUCUAUUCUUUUUUUGUUUUCCUUUUCCAUUUUUUUUUAAUGUCUGAUUGCCUUGAAAUGUUAGUUAGGGUUUUGGGUUUUAGGAUUGUUUGGUUAGGAGGAAAGUAUGAAAAAAUGAAAUCUGUAAAUCCUCAAAUGUUUUUACACGAAAUCUU
rnacentral:lncRNA from 1 species